UACGGGGGGGGCAAGCGUUGUUCGGAAUUACUGGGCGUAAAGGGCUCGUAGGCGGCCAACUAAGUCAGACGUGAAAUCCCUCGGCUUAACCGGGGAACUGCGUCUGAUACUGGAUGGCUUGAGAUUGGGAGAGGGAUGCGGAAUUCCAGGUGUAGCGGCGAAAUGCGUAGAUAUCUGGAGGAACACCGGUGGCGAAGGCGGCAUCCUGGACCGGCAUUGACGCUGAGGCGCGAAAGCCAGGGGAGCAAACGGG
rnacentral:rRNA from 1 species